rnacentral:rRNA from 1 species
UACGGGUGGGGCAAGCGUUGUUCGGAAUUACUGGGCGUAAAGGGCUCGUAGGCGGCCAACUAAGUCAGACGUGAAAUCCCUCGGCUUAACCGGGGAACUGCGUCUGAUACUGGAUGGCUUGAGUUCGGGAGAGGGAUGCGGAAUUCCAGGUGUAGCGGUGAAAUGCGUAGAUAUCUGGAGGAACACCGGUGGCGAAGGCGGCAUCCUGGACCGACACUGACGCUGAGGAGCGAAAGCCAGGGGAGCAAACGGG